AUGUGUCCAAUGGAGUUAAAUGGUCCUCCAUUUGGUCAACCAACAACUCCAGCACCUGUUGUGCAAUCUCAUGUGCAAGUGCCCACACAAGAUGAGUUCGAUGACAUAGACAAGCUCACACUUUUGAGUCUCGAGUUCACUUGGAGUGUCGAGGAUGAUCCUAUUAGGAAGGUUAUACUAGAGGAAAUGAAGAAGAUUAAGAGUGGAAAGGAGCUAGUGGAAGAAGUAAGGAAGAUUGAGAAGAACAUCAACGCUGGCAGCACUAUUUCUUCACAACUUGAGUUGAGUGUGGCUGAGAUAUCCAUGGAUACAUGUGAGGUUCCAACACCUUCACAUUUCGUUGAGCAAGAUAGCAAGUGCCUUGAGCAAGAGAUACCUCAGAUUGUAGAAGAUGAACUAGAAGACAAGGAACAAGAUGGUCAAGAGCUGCAAUUCCCAAGUGAUCAAGUUGAAGACUCAUCAUCUAUUACUCCUGAAGAAGUACAAGAAGCUGCUGUAGAUGAAGAUGAAGAACAUGAGAUUCAUUGGCCUAUUAUCAUACAUGAGUAUGAUGUGUCAGGUUUACUCAAUCCUCUUGAUGACAUGAUGCCUUGUGAUUUCUUUGCUACUACCUUGCAUUACAUGAUACCAUCACUUAAGAUUGAUUUGAAAAAUCAUUUACUUGGAUAUGAUGAUAUAUACCCUGUUAGUGGCAUUACUCUCAUUUGUGAUGAUCAUAGUUACUUUCCUCGUGCUAGUCCUAUGCUAAAUGAAACAUAUCAUUCCCAUGCUAGUCUUGAGCUUAAUGAUAAAUAUCAUCCUCAUGUUAGUGUUGACCUUGCUGAUUUCUACCAUCCUAAACAUGUGCUUUAUAGCUAUGCUUAUGUAAUUGGAUAUUCGAUUGAUGACUUGGAGGGUAUUAUCCCUACCACUUGCAUUGUCUCUUUGGUUGAGUGCUCUUUCAGGUUGUUGCUUGUGCACGAUCCACUACAUGCUGACCAGGUUCGAGGUGACAUUCCUUGGGAUCCUGGUGGAGUCAGAGCAUGGCGAUGA
rnacentral:rRNA from 1 species